ACUAGAAAGGCGACAGAGGGACGGAAAACAACACGUAUGGAAAUAUGUGGAUAAGCAGAAGCAAGAACUUUACUAAGUUAUCAACGGAUAUGUAGACCGGCCAUGAUGUCCAGUGAAAGGAAGGCAAAAGUAAACAAUUUUCUAGGAACAUGUAUGGUCUACAUAUCCGUUCACAACUUAGUAAAGUUCUUGCAUGCUUUUGCUUAUCCACAUAUUUCCAUAGGUGUUGUUUUCCGUCCCUUCUGUUCGCCUUUCUAGAU